rnacentral:rRNA from 1 species
CCUACGGGCGGCAGCAGUGGGGAAUAUUGCACAAUGGGCGCAAGCCUGACGCAGCGACGCCGCGUGUGGGAUGAAGGUCUUCGGAUCGUAAACCUCUGUCAGCGGGGAGGAACGGUCACUGUGCUAAUCAGCAGUGAAUUGACGGUACCUGCAAAGGAAGCACCGGCUAACUCCGUGCCAGCAGCCGCGGUAAUACGGAGGGUGCAAGCGUUAAUCGGAAUUACUGGGCGUAAAGCGCUCGUAGGCGGUAUGUCAAGUCAAGGGUGAAAUCCCCGGGCUCAACGUGGGAACUGCCUUUGAAACUGGCAAACUGGAGUGUGUGAGAGGGUAGUGGAAUUCCAGGUGUAGGAGUGAAAUCCGUAGAGAUCUGGAGGAAUAUCAGUGGCGAAGGCGACCAUCUGGAACAUAACUGACGCUGGGGAGCGAAAGCGUGGGUAGCAAACAGGAUUAGAUACCCUUGUAGUC